GAAGGUGAAUUUGUCUGGAGCACAUGCUUCCCACAUCAUCCAUCCCAGUCCAGAUAUUGAACUGCAAUAUUCAAAGAUGCUGAAGGAUAUAACUCUGCACAGUCAGUGAAGUGACAGAUCCAGAAUCUGAGCCCCUGUAGCAAGCACAGCAGGAACGAAGAUCUCUGUGUGAAAUGAAUAAGUCCCUAACAUCCCCAUAGCUCUACGAUGAUGAAAUGAUCCUGAAAUGCACCCACGCCAGAAAAGCUACCAUUGGACUGACAUUUAAAGUAGAGGAAGUCAAAAAUGAACAGGUAGGUAACCUUUGCGGGCC